AACGGCUCCUUUCUCUUCUCUUAGCAGCACCCAGCUUGCCCACCCAUACCCAAGAUGGGCAGGAUGCCAGCCUGCUACAUAAAUGUGCCAAAAGCCUGGCCUUGCCUGGAAAAUGGACCGAUUCGCCUGCCAAGAGGUUGGGUCUCGUUCCCUAGAGAGAAGGAAGUUUCCUCUCCUUGCAGUGAGAGCUAGAAUCGCACUUUCUGCCAAGCUGAGAGAAAGACUCUUUUCCAGAGACUAAAAGGACAAGAAAAUCUGAUUUGCUCGCUUCUAACUUUGCGUUUUAAAGGGGAAAGGAGGAAAGAGAGGGAGGGUGGUUCUGCUUAGCCCCACCCCUCCGGCUGCCCCAAGUCCCGCCGUCCAUUCCGGUGGAGGCAGAGGCAGUACUGGGACUCUGGGGCUCGUGCUAUGCCACCGGGACCUGCAGGAGCCAGAACCGCUCGGCGCCGCCUGGUGCACCGGAGGGGAGCCGGGCCAGGAAGAACAUGUUAGCCGUGCACUUUGACAAGCCGGGAGGACCAGAAAACCUCUACGUGAAGGAGGUGGCCAAGCCGAGCCCGGGGGAGGGUGAAGUCCUCCUGAAGGUGGCGGCCAGUGCCCUGAACCGGGCGGACUUAAUGCAGAGAGAAGGCCAGUAUGACCCACCUCCAGGAGCCAGCAACAUUUUGGGACUUGAGGCAUCUGGACACGUGGCAGAGCUGGGGCCUGGCUGCCAUGGACACUGGAAGAUCGGGGACGCAGCCAUGGCUCUGCUUCCCGGUGGGGGCCAGGCUCAGUAUGUCACUGUCCCCGAAAGCCUCCUCAUGCCUAUCCCAGAAGGAUUGACCCUGCCCCAGGCUGCGGCCAUCCCAGAGGCCUGGCUCACCGCAUUCCAGCUGUUACAUCUUGUGGGAAACGUUCAGGCUGGAGACUAUGUGCUAAUCCAUGCAGGUCUGAGUGGUGUGGGCACAGCUGCUAUCCAACUCACCCGGAUGGCUGGAGCUAUUCCUCUGGUCACAGCUGGCUCCCAGCAAAAGCUUCAAAUGGCAGAAAAGCUUGGAGCAGCUGCUGGAUUCAAUUACAAAGAAGAGGAUUUCUCUGAAGCAACACUGAAAUUCACCAAAGGUGCUGGAGUUAAUCUUAUUCUAGACUGCAUAGGCGGAUCCUACUGGGAGAAGAACGUCAACUGCCUGGCUCUUGAUGGUCGCUGGGUUCUCUAUGGUCUGAUGGGAGGAGCUGACAUCAAUGGGCCCCUGUUUUCAAAGCUACUUUUUAAGCGAGGAAGUCUGAUCACCAGUUUGCUGAGAUCUAGGGACAAUAAGUACAAGCAAAUGCUGGUGAAUGCUUUCACGGAGCAAAUUCUGCCUCACUUCUCCACGGAGGGCCCCCAACGUCUACUGCCGGUUCUGGACAGAAUCUACCCAGUGACCGAAAUCCAGGAGGCCCAUAAGUACAUGGAGGCCAACAAAAACCUAGGCAAGAUCGUCCUGGAACUGCCCCAGUGAAGGAGGAGGGGGCAAGACAGGACGCGGCCACCCCAGGCCUUUCUAGAGCAAACCUGGAGAAGAUUCACAAUAAACAGGCUACGCCCCACCCUUUACGCUACAGAGCCCGGAAGUGUCUUGAACUCGCGUUUCCAUCUUCCGGCCUCGCGUCUCAGGCUCGGUUUUACCCCGGAGUGUAUUCGAAGGGGGCUGCUACGUCAGCGCGUCUCGGCGUGAGACUGCGCUGUUCUGCUGUAACAGCUUCCGGCGGGUCCUGGUUGUUGAUGUCCUGCGUCUAGCGGUGUAACGCCUGAAACCGAGCGAGCUCCGGAGGAAUUUCAGUAUCUGCUACGGUAACCUUAUCAGCCCGCCAAGAUGGCGAUGCAAGCGGCCAAGAGGGCGAACGGGGAACACACCUGAAACUAGAGGAACAGCUUAUGUGGUCUAUGAGGACAUCUUUGAUGCCAAGAAUGCAUGUGAUCACCUAUCGGGAUUCAAUGUUUGUAACAGAUACCUUGUGGUUUUGUACUAUAAUGCCAACAGAGCAUUUCAGAAGAUGGACACAAAGAAAAAGGAGGAACAGUUGAAGCUUCUCAAGGAGAAAUACGGCAUCAACACAGAUCCACCAAAAUAAAUGUUUUCUACAUUUUCAUUUUGGACUAAAUCCCAUGAAUGACAAUUUUCCACUUUUUUUUUCCUUUUUAAUUAAUACUAAAUAUUGUGAUUUCUAAUUUGAGGUUCAACAUGAGCUACUUGAAACUUUGAUACAUAUUAGAAUACAUUGUGUUAAUAAACUUACAGCUUUUUGUGAAACACCUCAA